CGACGAAUCGUGCAGCGCAGCACUAUAAACCAUAGCUCCACAAACACAGAAGCACUUUGCACGUACUGUGGGCAGCAGAUAGCAGAUGUUUGUUUACUGCACAUAACAUUUUCCCACAAGCUACACAGCAGCAGUAAAAUGGAAUCUGACGUGACUCAGGGAUUUCAGGACACUUCAAAAAAUCUUGAAACUGCCCAUGGUAUCUCUUUGAAACCGCUGAACAGGCAAUGCGCUACAUAUUAGGCACACCUGUAGCUCAGUAGCAAAGGCACUGAUAAAAUGUUUGCAAAAAGAACAGCGAUUUUCAACACACACAUCACAAAAUACGACACUCGUCGCUGCAACAACGAUGGCGAUGGCAUGAUGAUGAUGAUGUUGGUGUCACUUCCGCUGGAUUGGCAUAUGUGUUAUUUAACAUUUAACCUCCACCACCCAAUUAUAAUGAACGGCCACGGAAAUUAAAGUAUUACAAAAAAUAAGUACUCAAAAAGCACGAGCUAAAGCAAUGGCAAUGACGUCUGCCCGUCUACCCAAUCACCAUCCAUCAUCCAUCCAUCCAACCAGUUCGAACCAGUUCAGUUUCAACGGUUGAAACUUCAAACUUUCCGGACGCGCAACGGGUAGCAGUUGGGGUCUUCGCGGCUGCAUUCCACUGGUUGUUAUACGAAAAUCUUUCGAAGUUCUAAUCUCCCGCGCGUUUUGUCUUGCAAUUUUUGAGCAUAGCGAGAACGUACGCCGUGCUGUCCAGUGAUAAAAGCUGUUGAGCGCAGCAGAGCUCGCAGAGUACUGUGGUGGACAACGUUUCUUUGUUCUCUGGCUUUCAAGUUUAAGGGGUGCUUGGACUAUCUUGCAUCGGUGGAUAUGAAAAUAGUGGUAACCUACCCUACGAAACAGCUAUUUGCACAUAAGCUUAACAGUUCCCUGUGAGAUGCUGUGAAAGUCAGCAGGGAAGUGCGAUGUAGAAGAAACGACUGCCAGAAGCUUGCUAAAGAACCGCACAACAUGUGUGAGCAGCAGACAAAAUAUUCAUCAAACGAAUUUUUGCACCAAAGUUAUGAGAGCAGCACAGAUGUUGUUUUAGCGUAAUGCAGUGAUGGAAGUGCUGCGCCAAUCAUGGAGUGCUUAGCAGUCGCCUGCUCGACCAGCCACAGUGAGUCAUUGGAGGCAGUGCUGCAGCGCCAACAAUCACUCAUUGGAAGAAAGGAAUGAGGUGGCCAUCAACACCCUGCUGCCAGUUCAACACUCCUCAGUCAAAACACAAGACGCCUGCUUGGCGGCAAAGUCAAUCCAGUUUUAGACAGAGUUUUGUACCGUAGACUUCGUGUGUGGUUUACUGCAAAUAAAUGUUUAUGCUGA